UACGUAGGGUGCAAGCGUUGUCCGGAUUUAUUGGGCGUAAAGAGCUCGUAGGCGGUUUGUCGCGUCGGCCGUGAAAUCUCCACGCUUAACGUGGAGCGUGCGGUCGAUACGGGCAGACUUGAGUUCGGUAGGGGAGACUGGAAUUCCUGGUGUAGCGGUGAAAUGCGCAGAUAUCAGGAGGAACACCGGUGGCGAAGGCGGGUCUCUGGGCCGAUACUGACGCUGAGGAGCGAAAGCGUGGGGAGCAAACAGG
rnacentral:rRNA from 1 species